rnacentral:rRNA from 1 species
AUGCAUUGGUAUUCUUGGUGGAAACUAUGCUGUCCCAAGUGUGAAGGUGGAAUGGGAUUCAGAGACUUAUAUUCCUUUAACUUGGCAAUGCUAUCAAAAAAGUGCUGGAGGCUCAUUACAUACCCUGACUCUUUGUGUGCUAGGGUGCUCAAAGCAAAAUAUUUCCAAAAUGGGAGUCUACUCCAAGCUAGCUUAAAAAAUGGUGCAUCAUUUACUUGGCAAAGUAUCAUGAAAGGAUUAGAGACCUCCAAACUGGGAUACAUAUGGAGAAUUGGAACAGGAGAAAACGUGAACAUUUGGAAUGACCCGUGGAUCCCAGCUAGCCCGGACAGAAAAGUUAUAUCAGUGUGA